rnacentral:rRNA from 1 species
AGCGAACGCUGGCGGCAGGCCUAACACAUGCAAGUCGAACGAACUCUUCGGAGUUAGUGGCGGACGGGUGAGUAACACGUUGGAACGUGCCUUUUGGUUCGGAAUAACUCAGGGAAACUUGUGCUAAUACCGAAUGUGCCCUUCGGGGGAAAGAUUUAUCGCCAUUAGAGCGGCCCGCGUCUGAUUAGCUAGUUGGUGAGGUAACGGCUCACCAAGGCGACGAUCAGUAGCUGGUCUGAGAGGAUGACCAGCCACACUGGGACUGAGACACGGCCCAGACUCCUACGGGAGGCAGCAGCGGGGAAUCUUGCGAAAUGGGCGAAAGCCUGACGCAGCCAUGCCGCGUGAAUGAUGAAGGUCUUAGGAUUGUAAAAUUCUUUAAACGGGGACGAUAAUGACGGUACCCGGAGAAGAAGCCCCGGCUAACUUCGUG